rnacentral:rRNA from 1 species
UACGUAGGGGGCAAGCGUUGUCCGGAAUUACUGGGCGUAAAGCGCGUGUAGGCGGCCCUGCAGGUCGGAUGUGAAAUCCCACGGCUCAACCGUGGAAGUGCAUUCGAAACUGCAGGGCUAGAGUCCUGGAGAGGAAGGUGGAAUGCUUGGUGUAGAGGUGAAAUUCGUAGAUAUCAAGCGGAACACCGGUGGCGAAGGCGGCCUUCUGGACAGUGACUGACGCUGAGACGCGAAAGCGUGGGGAGCAAACAGG